AUUGAACGCUGGCGGCAGGCCUAACACAUGCAAGUCGAGCGAGCGGCGGACGGGUGAGUAAUGUAUGGGGACUGCCCGAUAGAGGGGGAUAACUACUGGAAACGGUAGCUAAUACCGCAUACUAUCGUAUAACCCAUAUGGGAUUAGCUAGUAGGUGAGGUAAUGGAGCACCUAGGCGACGAUCACUAGCUGGUCUGAGAGGAGGAUGAGGAACACUGGGACUGAGACACGGCCCAGACUCCUACGGAGGCAGCAGUGGGGAAUAGUGCACAAGGGGCGCAAGCCUGAUGCAGGCAUGCCGCGUGUAUGAAGAAGGAUCUAGGGUUGUAAAGUAUUUUCAGUCGGGAGGCGGUACCGACAGAAGAAGCACCGGCUAACUCCGUGCCAGCAGCCGCGGUAAUACCU
rnacentral:rRNA from 1 species